UACGUAGGGGCCUAGCGUUGUCCGGAUUUAUUGGGCGUAAAGAGCUCGUAGGCGGUUCGGCAAGUCGGAUGUGAAAUCUCCACGCUCAACGUGGAGGGGCCAUUCGAAACUGCCGUGACUCGAGUCCGGUAGGGGAGUGUGGAAUUCCCGGUGUAGCGGUGAAAUGCGCAGAUAUCAGGAAGAACACCCGUGGCGAAGGCGGCUCUCUGGAACGCAACUGACGCUGAGACGCGAAAGCGUGGGGAGCAAACAGG
rnacentral:rRNA from 1 species